rnacentral:piRNA from 1 species
AAUGUAAAUAUCUGAGUUGCCAGAUA